rnacentral:misc_RNA from 1 species
AACUUUCAACAAUGGAUCUCUUGGCUUUCGCAUCGAUGAAGAACGCCGCGAACGCGCGAAACGUAAUGUGAAUUGCAGAAUUCAGUGAAUCAUCGAAUCUUUGAACGCACCUUGCGCCCCUUGGCAUUCCGAGGGGCACACCCGUUUGAGUGUCGUGAAAUUCUCAAAACCUCUUCCUUUGCCGGAAAGGAUUUUGGACUUGGAGGCCUUUUGCUGGUUUCACCUCGAAGCGAGCUCCUCCCAAAUGGAUUAGUUGGGUCUUCUUUGCCGAUCCUUGACGUGAUAAGAUCCUUCUACGUCUCGGGUUUUGCCACUGUGCCUCUGCUUCUAACCGUCUCAUUGACAACGAUGGUGUUCCGGUCACCGCCGAUUCGUCGGUGGGAGGCUUGACCCACAAAACGACCUUGACCUCAAAUCGGGUGAGACUACCCGCUGAACUUAAGCAUAUCAAUAAGCGGAGGCU